CCGCGAGGAGGCCCUCGCGGGCCCCCCCGCGCGCUUUCUGCCAGAGGACCUUCAAACUCCAGUCAGUAAACGUCGACGUCUGAUAAACAAGUUAAUAAACUAAAACUUUCAACAACGGAUCUCUUGGUUCUGGCAUCGAUGAAGAACGCAGCGAAAUGCGAUAAGUAAUGUGAAUUGCAGAAUUCAGUGAAUCAUCGAAUCUUUGAACGCACAUUGCGCCCCCUGGCAUUCCGGGGGGCAUGCCUGUUCGAGCGUCAUUACAACCCUCAAGCUCUGCUUGGUAUUGGGCGCCGUCCUCUCUGCGGACGCGCCUUAAAGACCUCGGCGGUGGCUGUUCAGCCCUCAAGCGUAGUAGAAUACACCUCGCUUUGGAGCGGUUGGCGUCGCCCGCCGGACGAACCUUCUGAACUUUUCUCAAGGUUGACCUCGGAUCAGGUAGGGAUACCCGCUGAACUUAAGCAUAUCAAUAA
rnacentral:rRNA from 1 species